AUUGAACGCUGGCGGAAUGCUUUACACAUGCAAGUCGAGCGGCAGCGCGGUCUUCGGACUGGCGGCGAGCGGCGAACGGGGGAGUAAUACAUCGGAACAUGCCCAGUCGUGGGGGAUAACACUUCGAAAGAAGUGCUAAUACCGCAUACGUCCUGAGGGAGAAAGCGGGGGAUCGCAAGACCUCGCGCGAUUGGAGGGGCCGAUGUCAGAUUAGCUAGUUGGUGGGGUAAAGGCCUACCAAGGCAACGAUCUGUAGCUGGUCUGAGAGGAUGAUCAGCCACACUGGGACUGAGACACGGCCCAGACUCCUACGGGAGGCAGCAGUGGGGAAUUUUGGACAAUGGGGGCAACCCUGAUCCAGCCAUUCCGCGUGAGUGAAGAAGGCCUUCGGGUUGUAAAGCUCUUUCGGCAGGAACGAAACGGCGAGCUCUAACAUAGCUCGCUAAUGACGGUACCUGAAGAAGAAGCACCGGCUAACUACGUGCCAGCAGCCGCAGUAAAAC
rnacentral:rRNA from 1 species